rnacentral:rRNA from 1 species
CGCCCAAUAGCUAGCCCACCCAUCAACCCCAAACACACCCUAUCUAUACCCCCAAACACACCACCUCCCAACAAACAAACCAUUUUUCCACCUAAGUACGGGCGACGAAAAAGGACCUAGGAGCAACAGAGAAAGUACCGCAAGGGAAAGCUGAAAGAGAAGUGAAACAACCCAGUAAAGCACUAAAAAGCAGAGACCGCCCCUCGUACCUUUUGCAUCAUGAUUUAGCCAGAAAUCCUUAAGCAAAAAGCAUUAUAGUUUAAUACCCCGAAACUAAGCGAGCUACUCCAAGACAGUCUAAUUUAUAGGACCGCCCCGUCUCUGUGGCAAAAGAGUGGGAAGAACUUUGAGUAGAGGUGACAGACCUACCGAGCCUAGUUAUAGCUGGUUGCCUGAGAACUGAAUAGAAGUUCAGCCCUUUAAAUUCUCCAUUCCCAUUGGCCCAAGGCCUCCAUACCGAACAAAAGAAAUUAAAGGAGUUAGUCAAAGGGGGUACAGCCCCUUUGAAACAAGAUACAACUUUCCAAGGAGGGUAAAGAUCACAACAAACCUAAAGGUCUAGUGUCCUAGUGGGCCUAAAAGCAGCCACCUACUUAGAAAGCGUUAAAGCUCGAACAUUACAUACCAACCUUUUAAUAAGGACAAUACAAUCUUACCCCCCUAAACCUACCAGGCCGUUCCAUAAAAAUUAUGGAAGCGUUUAUGCUAAUAUGAGUAAUAAGAGAAAUCCCCUUCUCUCCCCGCACAAGUGUAACUCGGAACGAACCCCUCACCGACCAUUAACGGCCCCAAAAUAAAGAGGGUACUAGACAAAAAAUAAACAACUAGAAAACCACCUAGCCCCCUACCGUUAACCCUACACUGGUGUGCCAACUGGGAAAGACUAAAAGAAAAAGAAGGAACUCGGCAAACACAAGCCUCGCCUGUUUACCAAAAACAUCGCCUCUUGUAUCCCCAAGCAUAAGAGGUCCCGCCUGCCCUGUGACUAUAA